UCCGUAGGGUGCAAGCGUUAAUCGGAAUUACUGGGCGUAAAGCGUGCGCAGGCGGUUGUGCAAGACAGAUGUGAAAUCCCCGGGCUUAACCUGGGAACUGCAUUUGUGACUGCACGGCUAGAGUAUGGCAGAGGGGGAUGGAAUUCCGCGUGUAGCAGUGAAAUGCGUAGAUAUGCGGAGGAACACCAAUGGCGAAGGCAGUCCCCUGGGCCUGUACUGACGCUCAUGCACGAAAGCGUGGGGAGCAAACAGG
rnacentral:rRNA from 1 species